CAGGUGUCCAACGUGACCAGCGCGACUCACUGCUCUAAUCGCUCCGGUUUUCCAAGACCUUGGUCGGUAGUCCUGCCAGGCGGGCCCUGAGGCUGGAAGGGAUCGGGGAGUAUGUGUGGGAAAGACCAUCUGGGAAUGAGCCUUCCUGGCAAAGAGGGACACCUUGCCUGAGCUUUUGAUCAUCAGUGCUUUCAAGAAGAAAGAUUUUUAAAAGAAUUUUUAUCUCAGGAAUGUGAGCCACUUCACAUGAUCAGAGAGACAUUAAAUCAAGACAGCAAUCACUUUCUGAUUCCUUCCUUUUGAGCUACGUAUUCAUCUGUUGGAACUGCUUGCUAUCACUCCAGGUAGCUGUAAAUUAAUCUAAUAAUGCCACACCAAACACUAUAUUCCACGCCGUAUAACAACGGAGAGCCAAGCUCUCAUCAAUGCCAUUUCUGAAAAUCAAUGAGAAUUCCGGACAGGCACCUUUCUAUCAGUCCAUCGUGCGUCCCCACUUUUGACCUUUAAAAACCUGCUUGUGACAGAGGCCAAAGGGAGCUCAGAUCCAAGGUUCUUUGGGUAUGAGUCUUCCAGGCAGCUGCCUUCACGUUGGCUCAAGUAAACUCUAAAUUAUAUUUUGUGCUUCAGCAUCUUUCUUUUAGGUCAACAUGUUCAGCAACAGUAGAAUAAAUAAGUUGGCCUAUAUUCAUACAAAGGAAUACACACAGAAACAAAUAACCACAUGAAUAACAUGAACAAUUCAUAGAUGUAAGACUGAGUGAAAGAAGUCAAACCUAUGCCUCUGCUCCUGAGACCGACUUUGCAAAAAUUAUAACUAGGACAAUCAUCACAGCGAAAGAGAUCUGACCUAACUGAUUCCAACGUCCAAGCUGUCCUUGUUCAUACCUGGGCACAGGCCAAAAUAACUUUGAGAGGAACUUAGUUUAUGGUUUAGCUGUGAAACAAAGAUGAUAACAGCCCUUUCCCAAAACAAACCCCCUUCCUGCCUGGGGACUAGACUGCCUUUGCAGGACUAACAAAUUAGCCACGAUAUUAGAAAUGAUGGUUUAGGAGUCAUGCAGCCUCCAGGUUACAAGAUUCUAAACCUCCCCAAAUUGUUCCUGGGGAUCAAAUCACUAUUGUAAAACAUAAGAUCAGUGUGUGAGAUAUUUUGCAGACCCCACACUCAAUGCAUCAGCUGGCACCACCCAGAUGGAUAAACCAGCUCAUCUGACCUUGUGGCCCCCACCCAGGAACUGACCCAGCUCAAGAAGAUGCUUUAGCUCCCUCUGAGUUCAUCUCCGACCUGACCAAUCAGACUCCCAACUCACUGGCCCCCACCCACCAAAUUAUCCUUAAAAACUCUGGUCCCAGAAUGCUCAGGAAGACUGACUUGAGUAAUAAUAAAACUGGUCUCCCACACAGCCAGCUCUGGAGCAUAAAGCGCUAACACGAGGUAAGUGCUAAGGUCUAGAGAAGGCUGUGGAAGAGAUGACACACUCCAGCACCAUGCCUGAGUGUCCAGUGUGCUCUGCUGGCAGCAUAUCUGUACAUUGCUGUAUUUGAAAACACCCUACAAGAUUCAUGAAAUUGGACCACCCUCUUUAUAACAGUGCUAGUGGUAAAACAAGUAAGGAUGGCUGGUUUGCAGUCAUCUGAGCAGCCUCUCUAGUUUCAUAGAUAUGGUUUCCCUCUGAUAUUGAACGGCUUCCAAUUUCAAGUAGAAUGCUAAUGACAAGGAUAACGACGUGAAGAGAACCAGUUUCUUGUGUAAUCCUACAUGUUUUAGUCUGCACAUUACAAGCCAUUGUUUGAAGAACGGUGGACAGGCUCCAGCUGUCUGCCAAAGAGGUCCUCGGCAACACAGGCUAAGAACUGGCUUCUGGGCAGGCCUGAUGGCUCAGGCCUGUAAUCCCAGCACUUUGGAGGCCGAGGCGGGCGGAUCA